GACGAACGCUGGCGGCGUGCUUAACACAUGCGAGUCGAACGGAAAGGCCCUGCUUUUGUGGGGUGCUCGAGUGGCGAACGGGUGAGUAACACGUGAGUAACCUGCCCUUGACUUUGGGAUAACUUCAGGAAACUGGGGCUAAUACCGGAUAGGAGCUCCUGCUGCAUGGUGGGGGUUGGAAAGUUUCGGCGGUUGGGGAUGGACUCGCGGCUUAUCAGCUUGUUGGUGGGGUAGUGGCUUACCAAGGCUUUGACGGGUAGCCGGCCUGAGAGGGUGACCGGCCACAUUGGGACUGAGAUACGGCCCAGACUCCUACGGGAGGCAGCAGUGGGGAAUAUUGCACAAUGGGCGGAAGCCUGAUGCAGCAACGCCGCGUACGGGAUGACGGCCUUCGGGUUGUAAACCGCUUUCGCCUGUGACGAAGCGUGAGUGACGGUAAUGGGUAAAGAAGCACCGGCUAACUACGUG
rnacentral:rRNA from 1 species